rnacentral:rRNA from 1 species
UACGGAGGGUGCAAGCGUUAUCCGGAAUCACUGGGUUUAAAGGGUGCGUAGGCGGUCCGAUAAGUCAGCCGUGAAAUCGCUGGGCUUAACCCAUGCAAUUGCGGUUGAUACUGUCGGACUUGAAUGGGGUUGAGGCUGGCGGAAUGCGACAUGUAGCGGUGAAAUGCUUAGAUAUGUCGCAGAACACCGAUUGCGAAGGCAGCCAGCUGGGCCUUUAUUGACGCUGAGGCACGAAAGCGUGGGGAGCAAACAGGAUUAGAUACCCUGGUAGUCCACGCCCUAAACGAUGCUCACUUGCUGUUCCUCUUUCGGGGGGAGUGGCGUAGGGAAACCGGUAAGUGAGCCACCUGGGGAGUACGCCGGCAACGGUGAA